ACACUCCUGCGGGAGGCAGCAGUGGGGAAUAUUGGACAAUGGGCGCAAGCCUGAUCCAGCCAUGCCGCGUGAGUGAUGAAGGCCCUAGGGUUGUAAAGCUCUUUCACCGGAGAAGAUAAUGACGGUAUCCGGAGAAGAAGCCCCGGCUAACUUCGUGCCAGCAGCCGCGGUAAUACGAAGGGGGCUAGCGUUGUUCGGAAUUACUGGGCGUAAAGCGCACGUAGGCGGAUCGAUCAGUCAGGGGUGAAAUCCCAGGGCUCAACCCUGGAACUGCCUUUGAUACUGUCGAUCUGGAGUAUGGAAGAGGUGAGUGGAAUUCCGAGUGUAGAGGUGAAAUUCGUAGAUAUUCGGAGGAACACCAGUGGCGAAGGCGGCUCACUGGUCCAUUACUGACGCUGAGGUGCGAAAGCGUGGGGAGCAAACAGGAUUAGAUACCCGAGUAGUCCC
rnacentral:rRNA from 1 species